GAACGGUUGAAAUAUGAUGAGUGUAUAAAAUCUUGAUUUAAAAAUGAAAAAUUACAAGAUCCAAUGCUGAUUUUAUCCAGAG